UGAAAGUUCUGCACUGUGUUUCUUGAAUCAGCCCCAUUCCAAAGGGAGCCAGAUCUGGGCUAAUCUGAUAUUCAUAGCUCAGUUAUAGCCAAACAUAGUAUUGGAAUCAAAUGUUUGAUUCCUUGCUUGUUGUGAAACAUAGUUGUGGUGGUCCUCUUGAUAUGUAAAACUCAGGCUACCUCCAUUCCUUCAGAAUCUAAGGAUAAACCAACCGUUAGUGGUGCUGCACAAACGAGCAGCGCAGCCAGUGACAAGAUAAAACAGGCCAAGAACUUGGCAGUAGCACAGGCACAACAAGAGGGUAGCAAAGGCAAUUUUAGGAUAUUCGAUUCUCCAUUUGGCAAUUUCCUAGUACCCGUUAUUCCAACUCGCGCAGAGCUUGGUGGGUAAUUCCCUGCUUUAUCUUCUUUAGCCAUAUUGCGUGUGUAGAUAUAUAUGUACAGGUACUUAUAGUCUGUCUGGUUAAUUUGAAUUCCUACUUUAUCCCAUUCCCGUUGAACUUAAAUUUCAAUCAUUGACACCAAAUAAUGCACUUACCAUUUGGUGGAUGGUUUAUCUCUAAUCUGGAUUGUUAGGCAGUGUAGAUGUACAUUUUAACAUUCCAUAUAGUGGCAUUUUGGAGCAAUGAUAUCUUGUAUUGUUAUUUGAAGAAACUGGGCAGUUGCAUGAUAAUGAUAAAUGCCUAAAUAAGAGGCAGCAACCUGAGAUGGAUCCCAUCCUAACCAGCCUGUCAGCUUUUGUAUGAAUUAGGACAACCUAAAUCUUGCCACUAAA